GGAUAGUUCCAUUGGUAGAGCAUGAGACUUCAUCUCAGGGUUGUGGGUUCAAGCACCACCUUGGUCA